GGCAGGACUCAAACGCAGACGUCGAAAGCAAAAGGACUUUAAUCAUCAAAAAGCAAAAGGCCAACACACAAAAACACACACACAGGAACUGAGACCAUCCAGGACGAUAGACAAUGACGCGACAAGUGACAAAAGAGACACACGGCUUAAAUACACAAGGGAGGUGCAGGUGAUUGGACACAGGUGGAAACGAUUAGACGAUCACAGGGGACGACGGGACAAGGCAGGAAGUGAAGUUACCCGGGGACACGAGUGGCAGAAAACUACAAAAUAAAACAGGACGUGAACCACACCGUGACACCACCAACAACCACCAACAACAACAACAACAACCACUGCGUCGCUCUCUUCCAACAUGGGAACAGCAGGAGAUUCUUGAGGGGCAAAACCGAGUCUAGGCUGUUUUUUACAAGAGCAUCCUCCCCUCACGUUCAAUCACUUGCUCAGUGGAGAGAUCUGACCCCCAUCAACUAUCAUCACCAUGCAGCAGGAAAAUGAUUAAAACGAUAAAGAAAUAGAGAAACUGAAUCAAAAUAAGGUAUAAAAAAAGCACUGGACGUUUAGCAGACAUUCAAAUCAGAAUGAAACGGAAUGAACUCUUUUACCAGUCACGCUUUGUUUUGAUUGGUGACACAAUGACUGAAAAACAAAUGGCACCUGGAAAGAGAAACACAUUACCCAAACAAUUAUCUGUGUACCUGCAGUGGUUAUGAACAUAUGUGAAAUUGUGUGUCGUUUUAUAUCUGGAUUUGCAUUCACGACACACCAUGUGUCUACGUCUUAAAUAGUUCUUUCAAAGAGCUCAACCUCAGCCCAAUGGCUGCAUCCUUGAUAAUUGUGUAACUAAACUGAAAACGGAUCCCUCCUUCUUGGCUGGAGUGUCGCCAGGAGUCUCAUUUCUGUUUGGAAGCUCAUCAGGAACAGCAUCAACCCUAAAUUGAUUCUCUUGGCCAGGCGGCGCCUCGCAUGGCCGCUUCGCCGCCAUCGACGUGUGACUCUGAGGCGUGUUGUGAAGCACUUUGUCUGCUACACACAGCAAAGUCCACCAGUCCAAAUCAACACAAUUUGCUCAAAAAAGCGUUUACACAGUUCACAUUGGACUUAUUUUUUAUAUUAUUUAUCAAAUAUCAUGUGUACUGUCAUCAUAUUUUCUAGCUUUUAUUAAACAAACACUACUGUUAUAAUUCUCUGACUGCAGUUUCAUUUUGAGCAACAAACUGAAACUUUGGUGGACAGUUUGGCGUGAAACUUGACGACUGAACCCCAUAUUGUGGGGUUAUGUUUGUGAUAAAUGAAUAUACAUAUGGCAGCACUUUUACUGAAUGGUGGAAUUCAGAAUGAUUUACAGUGACCCUGGUGACACGCAGGUGUGUCUUCAUCAGGAACGAUUGUGAGCUGAGGCGUCUUUCCCUGUCAUUUGUUUUUUGAUUAAGCCUCACUUAUCUCCAAAUUUUAAUCAUCAGGUGCCACAUUUCAAUCAUUUAAAUGCAGAAGCCACAUUUCCCUUGUAGGUCAGUUCGUCUAGAGACGAAGACCGACGUAGGGAAGAAGGCGGGAGGUGGGGGGGGGCUAAAGCUUUAAUUUCCAACGCUUUAUUCUAAAACAGAACUGCAAAUUCACAUUGCAAAAAUACUUCAGAAAGUACAGGUUGCUCCUUGAAUAUAAUGAUUUAUAAAAAAUGAAGAAAAAUACAAAUCAGAAAAUGUAACCGGAUUUGUUUUAGCGUCAGAACUUGUUCUCUAUACUACUCACAAACACACCCCCAUGUUCACUUGAAGCUUAAUCAUUAAUUGAUUACCAUCAUUGUAGUGCAAGUUAAGUAAACGUACACACCCCAUCUAAGUACAGCUAAAAAACAACCAAGUGCUAUGAGAUGAAUUUAAAAUGGCAUUUGUAGCGUCGCCACCACGCUCGCACCCCUUAGACGACUAGUCGAACAGACGUCUCGGCCUGAGUCACGUGACUCACAACAACUGCUGGCUGCGCUUUCCUCUCCGUCGGCUCGGCUCUUCUUUAUUUUUUCUCGGCGCGCAUCUCCACAACUCAUUGACGUAAUAAUCGCGCGACACAACUGAUCGAUUAUGAAAUUCGUUUUCCUUUUAAUAAUCCAAUUUUAUCGAUUUCAUCGAUUUGUUGUUGCAGCCCUAAUGUAAACCCGAAAGAUGAUUUCUUGAACCUUCCCAAAACUAUAGAGACACGAGUUUAUUUUGAAAUGGCUGCAGAGGUUGGCUGGUGUUCUGUGGCAAUGCACUGAAGACCGGAGGACACAACCACUGAUCAUUUGCCAAACCUAACCAAGUAGCUUUGUUUCUAAGUUUCAUUUAAAGCACAUUUCUGGGAGUCAUUGAACAACCUUUACUUUUCUCUAGUCAUUAGAAUAAGUUGCAAGGAGGUUGCAGUGAACUUAUCCAGUUAUUUUUCAUGCUUGCAAUGAUUAAAGGGCAUCGCAAAACAGCCGUGGAGAUGGAUGCAGAAAGCCGCUGUGGGUCUGAACUCCGGUGAGAGUUUGUCUGUUCCCUGAAGUUUGCCAGUUUUAAAGGUCGCGGGCUCCCCCGCUGCUUAAGGGGUCUGGUUCCGCUAUCCGAGGGCCAUUUCUUUGCAUAAUGGACAGCUGUAGGACGCUCGCCCCGCGCCGCCACUCGCGCUCGGACUCUGAUAGAGCUGAUGAUAGAUGGCGGCGUCAGUCAGGCAUGAGCGGGCCCCCAGGAUGCAGCAGUGCACUCGUUUACAGUGAGGCCGGGCCCCGACAUCAGCAGCCAUGAGCCGCCUCGGCUUCUCAUUAUGUGGGACAUUGUGCCUCAAAUCCAACAGAGCAAGGACGGAGCUCCUCGAAAAAUGGAACAUUUUAAAUACAGACGGGUGGUGGGAGGCAUCCGGUGAAAUAAGUGCCGCCCAACGGAUUCACCUUUCGGUUUCCCCAACGUGGCAGUAAAAGAGUCACUUGGGUCCACGUUGUGUCAUUGUUCUCGUCUCCGGGUGCCGACGUUUCACAACAGAUGGAAGAAAGAAAGGCGGAGGCCCGCUCGCUUCUACAGAGCGAAAACUGACACAUUCAUUUGGGCCGGUCUGAUCCAAGCACCACUGGGUUUUUUGCCCUACAAGCAACUGAAGAAAUGCAACGUCAGUGAGGUCCAUCCAUCAGGUGCGGGGGACGUCCGGGAACACGAGACGGCUCGAUGAACGUUGCUGUGGGUGUUCGGAGUCCCCUUUCUUCUCACAGGACAAUUCUGUCCAGAAACACGACUUCCUCUGAGGAUGAACCCUUUUAACAAGAUGAAUCCUGCCUUUGUGCACCGUGCGCCUCAUUCCUGCGCCGUUGUUCUUCUUCUACUUCUUGAAGACUUAACGGAUAUUCAUGAAGUGAUCACAUCCCCAUAAUGUGGUCAAAUGGACUGCUGGUUUAUUUGCAAGUGUAUUUUGUGUAAUUUAUUGUGUCCUCGCACGUCAUUCAAUGGCAAUCAACAUUUGAUAUUUUCACAACUUUGGCUGAUCUUAACUUGAGAAACAUUGAUAGUUUUGCCACGGAGCGAGGCCCGCUGUGGGUGUGCGGGUGCGCUGUGAAUAAUCGUCGGGUAGAAGCCGUCAGGCUUUGAGGUAUUCAAGCCCUUGCCGAUAUUCAUGGAACCAGUAAUAACCGAAGCAAACACUGUCGGUAGAAAGCAGUGAGCAAAUAAAUAGAUGGAAGAAGUUUCAAUAAAUCAUCUUGCGACAACAAUAAUAUCAGCUAAUAAUCUCAGUAGUGUGACUGUGUGAGUGUUUUCCUCUUAAGAGUGUUAAUGGAUUUGCACGCGUGCGUGUGUGUGGUCCGUGUUUGUGUGUAAAUACACACAUUGUCUGUCUGAGUUUGUCGUGGCUCAACAGCAGCUCCGGAGAAUUAAGACAUGCUUUUCAUGAAAAUAUUUCAAAUGGCUGUUUUAGAAAUGAUGAUAGUUGUGCUUUGACGGUUUUAUCGUCAUUUAGUCUCCUUGUCUGCUUUUGGCUGUAUUAUAAUUGCUGUUGUCACAGCUGGCCGACCGGCUGCUAACUCGUCCCGAGUCAAGUUGUCCGUUAUCAGAAGGUCAGCGCUGCUUGGCCCGGGUGUAUUUGGAAUAAUCAUGAGGGGGGGGGGGGUUACUGACCGAGAUAAUUACUGCUGUCAAUCAUAAAACAUGAUUUGGUGAGCUCCAUUUACCCCUCGGAUACAAUAAAUAUUGACCCUGAAUUUAAUGACCGUUUAUACACCGUCACAUAUAUAUAUAUAUAUAUAAUAUUAUUAGUGUAAGGAUGAUUUUGGUGCAUUUCUUUGUUGUUGUAUGUGUACAGAAUGUCUAUAAUUUGAAUAAACUGUUUUUCUCUAAAUCUUUUUUUCUCAGAUUCUGAUUCACAAAUCUCUGCUUCAGUAACUCUUACAUCUUCCAAACUUUACAACUUGUUUCCUUUGUGAAUUCUGGAGGGUUUUUACACAUGGUUUGUUCACACAAGUCAUUUUUAUUGAGAAAAACAUGGCUUUUAACAGAAUGUUAGGAUUAAUGUAUUAAUACAUAUAUUCCCUUAAUAAAAACCUCUGUUUAAAAAAAUCCUGCUUAAUAGACAUGUUUAAUUAAAUAAUACCUCAUUCGCAAAUUAGAUCACAGAUGUUACAGAACUCUGUUUUGUUCUCUGGCUCGAUUAUCCGAACGCAUUAAAACAAAAACAACCUUCUGUAACGACCCGAUUGACCUUCCUGACAAAAUGAAACAUGCACUCUGAGAUCCGCCGUCUCUCGUUAAGGUCAUGAUGCGUUUGGACAAUAACAUCACGUCUCUUCUCACCUCAACCCGAAUGAAGCGCAUCUUAGAAUUAGAUUGCAGGCUAUAAUCAUGCAAUCUAAUUAUUAUCUUGGCGUCUGACGAAUUGUCACUUACAAAAUGCUCCCUCCCUCCUUGCUUCCGUGUGUACUUGGAAAUACUGACAUUUUCAGUGAGACGGCUGGCUGCUAAACAUUAAGAUGUGUCAACUAACACAGCAAAGACAAUUCCUUUCAAAGGAUCAGCCAAAUGAGGCAGAAGGGAAGAAACAAUUUGCCAAUUGUGGAAAGUAGGGCAGAAGUUUAUUGAGCCUCAGAACUGGCGCUCUGAUAAAAAGGUUUCCAAAUGACUUGGUUUGUUUUGCUGUGUUUGUGUCUGUGAAAUUAACUUGAGAGAUGAUAGCGUCGUCCAAUUACCCGGGAAAUUUGCAAGCGGCGCAGCCCGUGGAAUCAUCUGGAUUAAUUGGACCCAAAAUAAACACCAGUGGCUGUUUGGGUGAGACCUCUGAGCUGACCGAUGCGUUUCGGUGACUGAAGGAGUCGGGAGAAGAGGCCCUGCGGAGCUGCGGAUCAGCCAGCGUCUCUGGGGCUGUUUUUCGCAGCUCUUUGUCUUCGCCGAGGAGUCGGGGCUCUGAGUGGGUGCUGGCCCUUUGGAGGAAGAUAAUCGUCCCCUCCGGUGUGAUCCUGAACACAGCUGGAGUCAGACAUUGGAUAAUAUUUGGCGAAGGCAGAUGGUAAAAACAGGAUCUGGCAGCUUUUAACCCUCAGCGGGCAUCGUGUAAAUAGUGAAACGACUCGUCACAUUAGAUCGGGGGGGUGCAUGUCGGGAGCGGCUCGCCGUGUCCGUUUCUAGCAAAUUCCACACCUCACAGUGCACCUCCACUGGCGACGAGGGAGACGGCAACGGUGGCUGCUGUGUUAUAUCAUGUUACAGUAUCAUGCGUUAAGCACUGCGACCAUCACCCGGAUCUUUAGGCAGCGGAUUUCAAUCUGUCCCAACUCGAUUGUGCAAUGUUGUAAUGUUGGGGCCACAUCAUCCGUCGAAGCUGUCCACUAACAGGUCACUGGAGGGUUGAUUUAGAAAGAUAAUUCGAACCACUCAGCAACCCUAAUCCAGGUAUCACAUAAAUUAAAGUAAUGUGGUUACUUUCCAACACUCUUGGAUUACCUCAAUAGCAAAUAUGCAAAUAAAGACGAGAGAAAAUUGAUCACUGAUUAAAUUGGACCUUAAAGCCACUGCGAGGUGGAUUCUGGCGGCCCCUCUGGAGGAGAGCGGUACUGUUUCUCCUCACUGGCACAGACUGCAAGUCGCACAAGACGUCCCGUGAAAGAACUGUAAUUCGACAUGCAGCGAGAGUUAAGAUGAACCUCUGCGACUAAAGGGAAUGCUGGGAUGAAUCUACGUCAAGGCAUCCGCCCGUCUCUCUCUAGCUGCCACGUAAUUAACGUUGUGCACAUAGAAAUGUGGGCUAAAGGCUUUGUUAAUUAUGCUGUUCGCACUUCACAUGGAUCUCUGCAGCUGGAAGGCAGAACGCGCGCUCUACUGUGUGAUGUUGUUCCCCCUUUCUGCUUUACUAAAUAAUUGACCAAGUUUCCACUCAGUUAGAUUCCUUUCCCUCAGCAGACCGCGGUCGAGCUGUUUCACUAUAUAUGCAUUGUUUUCUAUUUGUAAAGUUUAUAUUAAAAUUGUAAUCGGUUAUUCUUCCUUUGACUGAAACAGAAUACAGUUAAUAAUCAGAUCAACCUUAAUCAUGCUUAAUCUUUAAAACAUUUUACAUUAAUUUCUCUGAACAAUACUGGUAGAGCAAAUAGAAGAAAGACUUUACAUUACUAUAAGCUUGGAUGGAUAUUGAUCUAUAUAGUAUAUUACAUGUAACGCUUUAAAUUCUAAUUGGUUAUUAAUCCGUAGGUCGCACAAUAAAUAAGGAGCCAUAAGCUCCUUGGAUGUAUAUUUACCUCGUCUCCACCUCAACGAUCCAACUAAACAAAAGCUGUCUUUAAUUCAAUGUGUCACUUAUAAAGUGACUGCAAAGCUAAAAACGUGUAGAAACGCAGGAAUUUCUUUUAUCUUCCUCGGGGGACGACGUCCCGCGCACUUUGUAGAGUGAGAGUUGGAGCUUCAGCGUGAAAAUAGAGUAAAAGAUUGUUUUCUCUUGUGAAUUCAAAGCGUCAUCAGAUUAGAAAGUCUCGUUGUGCUUUUUUUGCAGCAGAAAAUUCCAGCAGGGCUUCAGAAACUAAUCAAAUAAUGCAGAUAGUGAAGUCAUGCAGAAGCAACUUAAAAGCUGCAUUCUGUGUAGUGACCAGCGGGGGGCGACUCCUCUGGUCCCAUAGAAGUCUAUGAGAAAAUUACUACUUCUUUCUCUCUACCUAUUCCCUCAGUAAACAUUGUAAACAUGAGUUCAUGGUCUCAAUCGUUGGUUUCAAGUCUUCUUCAAUACAGCAUGAUGUUCAUUACAGUCCAGAAAAAGACAUUUGUUGCCAUGGCUACGACAAUUAGUGUAGGUGUGUAGUCAUAAGCAAUGUCUUGAUGCAACAUUCUUUGUUUGAAAAUGAUUUUAUACAAGUGAUAUUUGUACCAUGGCUUGUGUUAAAAUGAGGUCUACUGACGGACUGCAGGAUACAAAACGAUUCCAGAAACAAGACCUUUUUUGUAACAGCGAAUCCAUACAGUGAAUAAAGAUGAGGAUGUGUUUGUAGAGCUCUUAGAAUCCCUGCAGUGAGAGGCCACUACACUUUGGACAGGUUGAAGACGAGGAGGAGACGUGCUGCGCCGGGUUGAGACGAAGAUGACAGUCACGCUGCACAACCUCAAACACCGCUUUGGACCGAAAAGGUCACUUUGUGAUUGUGGGGGAAACUCAUUGAAACCAACAGGUGUUAAGAAGCCGGAGCUGGGACUGUGGAGAUGAGUGAUCAUCAAAGCAGGAGGUGAGCUGACCUGACCACAGGGAGACCUUCCGCACGUUCUAAGGAUCUCUGUCCUCUUUAACAAAGUCAGUUACUGCAAAGUCGGCUGCUUGAAGUCCCCGAUGAUGACUCCCUGUUGGUGGAAUAACAGACGUGUUUCUCACAGUGAGGCCUAAAGAGACUGUUUUUAUACUCUCCAGAACAGCUUCCUUUCUGAAGCGAUAAGUCAAGACAUGCUCAAAGGAUUUAGCCCCAAAAGUUGAAAGGUAAUUCUGCAGCUUUAGACAUUUAAAAAUCCUUCUUAAAAUCCUUCUGAAUAUCAAGCAGGUUUUCCACAUUGGUGCAAUGAGAUUUAAUCUGUUUUUAAAAGUAAUUCUUGUAGGUUCAAACUAAGUCGCCUGUCGGUUCAAUGAAGGAGGAUCGAUUUUGCAGGUACAUUGGAUCGUUACUGAUGUGGCACAUUAGCACAUAACAUCUUAGUGACCGAAGGCAACAAAGACGCGACUCUGGACUCUGGGAAUAAAACCAGCAGGUGGAAAAUUGAACCUCUCAGCAGAGUCCGAGGACGAGCUGGCGGUGAUGUGCACUCGUUCUGCUACAGGUCGGAAAGUGAAGCGUCACAAAGAUAUUUAUCGAGGAGGCCGCCGACAACCGAUUGGUUUCUGUGUAAUAGAAGGAAAGACGAUUGGCUCGGUGUGUGAGGGAUUUAUGAAGCAGAGAAGCUCCGAGCGUGACAGUGACAGAGAAGCUGAGAACACACGUUGCUGACUCGUGGCUUUCUUCCUGAGUGAUCAGGAAUUAAAUUUCCUGCGAAGAAAUAUCUGCACAAUUAAAGGUAUUCUUCAAAUUCACUUCACUGAAGGCAAUAUCGUGGCGCUCUCGUGAAUAACACAAUAUUGCAUAUCUAGCAGGGCACAUAAUUAGUUAUUACAUAAGUGAGUUUAUCUCAAAUCUUAAAGCUCCACAACGUCGACGCCGAAGAGCGAGCUGAAUGUCAGACGUAACCAGACACACUCCUGACACUCUCCUGCAAAAUCAAUUAAUGAGGUCAUUUAUAAUUCAAAAGGGUGGACCUGCACUAGCAGCUUUGCUGCUUGUUAAAGGACUUAUGUUACUUCAUGGUUGAAGUGGGGGGGCAACAAUCCUGUUUAAAGGAAUCCUGCUCUCGUGUGCUCGGUCGCCACUGGUUUUGUGUCUCGUUUUGCAGGAAUUCCCGGAGCACUUCGCUUGGUAAACUGCAGUAGGACGAUACGGGAGGUCUGCUACAUAAGAAGGCGCCAGCCCAUUUAAAACCUCAGAGAAACAAGCAAUAAAAUCUUAAAAUCAAUGGCGGAAUGGUCAGGAAGCCUGGGGAGGGAGGCCGGAGUCGCUGAUAUGUAAUCCUGUUGUCUUUCCAAGAGCAGCUGCCUAUUGGUGCUAAAAGCAGAUGACCGCUUUUCACAAACAAGCAAAUAAUUAGAUAAUAAAAGAACAAAUAACUCUCACAAGAUCUGGGGGAGGGAGAUUAAAGGCUAUUAUUUACAGGUUUAUAAUGCAGAGUUGUGAAAAAAUACGUCACAUGCUCCAGAUCUAAUAAUCGGAUUUGCUAACGGAUUUGAUAAAUGUGAGAAUGAUGAGCUUCUUGGAAAUGUCUCCACAUCUCCACAAAAAGUGGAUAAAAGCCUCGUUUGAAGACGUUCAGAGGUUCUGCAAAGUGAAUUUCUGGGACAGGAAGCACACAGCGCUCCACGCGCCCCCAUUUCUACACGGGAUGGAUGUUCUUUUUGCGUUGUUACGGGACGCAGGGUAUCCAUUACUCCCACGUUCACUCGCCUCCUUCUGAGAAGACGAUGGCAUGACUCCGGCUGAGUGGAGGAGAACCCCCGUGGAGGGAACACGUGGAGAAGUAAAGGUGAGAGGGAGGAGUUGGUCAGAGCGGCGCCGGCACCACGCUGAGUGUGUGGGUGCAGGGCUGGUACCUCACGCCGGUUUGCACGAGAUGAUGGAGACUCGUCUAUAAGCAACGCGAAACAUUCUGCAACAUUCUUAAAACAACGUCGUUCUGUUGCAGCCGAGUCGAUGAUCAAGGCCUUCAAAAUGAAAGUCUUCAUCACAAAACAACAAUUCAAAAAUACACAUCCACGGGCCGAUUCAUUGAUCGAAAAGGUUGAAAAAGAUUUGACUUGUUUUUAACAUUUACGUUAGACAUCGCUCAGUGGAAAACCAGCAAACUCCCCACAUGAUGGAAUAGGACAUCGGCCCCCGAACAUCACGCUCAUCCUGUUUAACAUCUCAUUACAAAACCAAAGGAAUUAAUCUGCAGCCUCCACUCUUCUGGGAAGGCUUUUCCACAAGAUGUUGGAACCUGCCUGCAGGGAUUUGCCCCCAUUGAGCCACGAGAGCUUUAAAGCGAGGUCGGGCGCUGGCGCCGGGUGAUAAGGACCCGGUUUUUCAGCGGGCUUUGGAUCAAAGCUCUUUGAGGAAAGUUCUUCUGCACCACAGUCUGGAGAUGUUAGUCUGCUCCCCAUUGAAUAGAACAUCAGCUGUAGCAUUAACGUUUCUGCUGAAAGAGCCGCGGCGGCCCGCGUAGCUCUGCCGCUACCUUUCGGAUGGCUGUUUGGUGAACCGCUGCAGUGCGUUAAUGGCCCCGUGAAUGACUGCAGUGCACUCCCACGGUCCUGCAUGCCACGAUCUGGGAGCCGCAGAGGCCCCGGCUGCCUCGGCUCGUAAGUGGAUUUUCUGUGUGCUCCGUUUUUGUGAGGCUUGUUUAUUGGCAGCCCUCACCGUCUCAGCAGUUCCAGCUGUGAUAGAUGAGCCAGGUGGCGCGCUCUAUUCUCCGGGUGAGGAGAGAGAGAGAUAGAGGGAGGGAGGGAGGGAGGGAGGCAGAAUUGCUGCUUCCAUCACUUCUGGUGACCUUACGUGCCUGAUUAUGCCGCCCGCCAUCACUCCAACCGAGCAGCCUCAUUUGCACAACUGCGCCUAAUGAUCAGAGCUCUUCUACUGUAAAGCACCGCACGUCACAUCUCCUUGUAAGGGCUGACUGGACCCGACUGACGGUCCGGUGUUUGCGUGCUCUGCCGUCGCACUAAUCGGCCCAGGGAUGCGUGCGGCAUCCUUAACGGUGCGAUCAGAGCGGCGAGAUGUGAUUAAGACGAAGAACGAGAGAGAGACAGAGAGAGAGAGAGAGAGAGAGAGAGGGGCGUCUUGGAUGACAAAGUGCUUUGGCUUUUUCUUUCUUCCUCUCGGGCUGCUGCCGGCUGUCGGUUAGAGCCGGUCCCCGUGCGAUCCGAUAACAGCAGGGAGGGGAGAGUCUGCCAAUCAACAGCAGCCACGGACGCUUUGUUCUGCAGGGCCGCCGGGCGGCAGGGGUCCGUCCACGCCGCCAGGCUUUCACGCCGUCUUCGUGAAUGUAUACUCUUGCACGCGUUCGUAUGGAUUAACGCCAUGGCAACAGGGAUAGGGGAGUGCUAAUUGGCUGAAGGUGUCAUGCGGCGUCCUCGUUAUUGAUGCCUUUAGUUUUUUAUUAGUACUCACUCUCCAAUCUCCAAAAUGAUGCCAUUUAACGCUCAUAUUCUUGCAACCGGAAAUUGAUAUCUGAAGGAAAUAGAAUCUUUACAUUGCUUCAAUUUAUUAUCAAUACAACGACACAUUUAUUAUCAUCUGCCAAAAAAUGUCAUUUGUUUUCCCUUCAAAAUGUGCUUGUGGCAACUAAAGCAUGACAAAUGUAACAGCCAGAAGUGACCAUAACUAAUAGCAGUGGUCAAAUUAGUAUGUGGGACUGCAGAUUUGAAUCAUUAUGAUUCAUUGUGUUCAUUUUAGUCAAAUGAAUAAUGUAUUUGAUGCUUGGAUAAAAAGGUUAAUGUGGCUUUUUAAAAACUUUAUUCAAGAUAAUCCAAUAUUAUAAAUAACCGCAAGAGCAAAAUAAAUGUAUUCUGAGGGAAAAAGAACAAGCAAAAUAAAUAAAUAAAGCCAAUUUGAAAUAUUCUUCUAUUCAGCUGGAUCCAGAGUGUCCGUACAGGUUUAUGCCUUUUAUUUUGAUGUUGUGCCAGGAGAGGCUUCCCUGAAA
ensembl:lncRNA